CCAAGAAGAAGGUUAGCUCUGCCAAAGGGGUGGCGAAGGGGUAGUGAAAUGAAGGAAGAGCCCAAGAGGCAAUCGGCAUGGCUGUCAGCUAAACCUGCUCCUGCAAAAGUGGAAAUGAGGCUGAAAAAAGGCAGCAGAAGUAUAAAUCCUUAGACAAAGAUGUGCAAACAAAAGGGAAAGGGAGGGGGAGCAAAGAGAAAACAGACUCAAGUGACUAACCAAGAAACUAAAGAUUUACCUGCAGAAAACGGAGAAACUAAAACCAAUGAGAGUCCAGCCUCUGAUGAAGCCAGAGAAAGAAGCCAAGUCU
rnacentral:lncRNA from 1 species